rnacentral:rRNA from 1 species
UCGGAUUGUAGGCUGCAACUCGCCUACAUGAAGUCGGAAUCGCUAGUAAUCGCGGAUCAGCAUGCCGCGGUGAAUACGUUCCCGGGCCUUGUACACACCGCCCGUCACACCAUGAGAGUUUGUAACACCCAAAGCCGGUGGGGUAACCUUUUGGAGCCAGCCGUCUAAGGUGGGACAGAUGAUUGGGGUGAAGUCGUAACAAGGUAUC